UGAGUACGAGCUGCUACGGCAGCGAAGUGGGUGAUGUCAAGCUUCCAAGAAAAGCCCUAUACCCGUUAAGGCAUGACGGCCUGUACCCGAAACCGACACAGGUGGGGUGGUAGAGAAUACCGAGGGGCGCGAGAUAACUCUCUCUAAGGAACUCGGCAAAAUGGCCCCGUAACUUCGGGAGAAGGGGUGCCACCGCAAGGUGGUCGCAGUGAAGAGGCCCAGGCGACUGUUUACCAAAAACACAGGUCUCCGCUAAGUCGCAAGACGAUGUAUGGGGGCUGACGCCUGCCCAGUGCCGGAAGGUUAAGGAAGCUGGUCAGCGCAAGCGAAGCUAGCGACUGAAGCCCCGGUGAACGGCGGCCGUAACUAUAACGGUCCUAAGGUAGCGAAAUUCCUUGUCGGGUAAGUUCCGACCCGCACGAAAGGCGUAACGAUCUGGGCGCUGUCUCGGAGAGAGGCUCGGCGAAAUAGAAUUGUCUGUGUAGAUGCGGACUACGUGCACCCGGACAGAAAGACCCUAUGAAGCUUUACUGUAGCUUGGUAUUGUGCCCGGGCUCUGAAUGCGCAGGAUAGGUGGGAGGCUUUGAUCCAUUGCUUGUGGGUAAUGGUGAGCCACUGGUGAGAUACCACUCUUUCAGAGCUAGGGUUCUAACGGUCACCCGUUAUCCGGGGACCGGACAGUAUCAGGUGGGCAGUUUGACAGGGGCGGUCGCCUCCUAAAAGGUAACGGAGGCGCGCAAAGGUUCCCUCAGGCUGGUUGGAAAUCAGCCGACGAGUGUAAAGGCAGAAGGGAGCUUGACUGUGAGACCUACAAGUCGAACAGGGACGAAAGUCGGCCUUAGUGAUCCGACGGUUCUGAGUGGAAGGGCCGUCGCUCAACGGAUAAAAGUUACUCUAGGAUAACAGGCUGAUCUCCCCCAAGAGUUCACAUCGACGGGGAGGUUUGGCACCUCGAUGUCGGCUCAUCGCAACCUGGGGCUGAAGUCGGUCCCAAGGGUUGGGCUGUUCGCCCAUUAAAGCGGUACGCGAGCUGGGUUCAGAACGUCGUGAGACAGUUCGGUCCAUAUCCGGUGCACGCGCAGGAACAUUGAGAGGAUUUCUCCCUAGUACGAGAGGACCGGGAGGAACGCACCUCUGGUGUACCAGUUAUCGUGCCAACGGUAAACGCUGGGUAGCCAUGUGCGGAGCGGAUAACCGCUGAAAGCAUCUAAGUGGGAAGCCCACCUCAAGAUGAGUGUUCCCAUGGCAUAAGCCAGUAAGGUCACGGGAAGAACACCCGUUGAUAGGCUCUACGUGGAAGCGUGGCAACACGUGAAGCGGAGGAGUACUAAUAGACC
rnacentral:rRNA from 1 species